rnacentral:rRNA from 1 species
AUUGAACGCUGGCGGCAGGCCUAACACAUGCAAGUCGAGCGGAUGAAGGGAGCUUGCUCCUGGAUUCAGCGGCGGACGGGUGAGUAAUGCCUAGGAAUCUGCCUGGUAGUGGGGGAUAACGUCCGGAAACGGGCGCUAAUACCGCAUACGUCCUGAGGGAGAAAGUGGGGGAUCUUCGGACCGCACGCUAUCAGAGGAGACUAGGUCGGAGUAGCUAGUUGGUGGGGUAACGGCCUACCAAGGGGACGAUCCGUAACUGGUCUGAGAGGAUGAGCAGUCACCCUGGAUCUGAGACUCGGUCCAGACUCUUACGGGAGGCCGCAGUGGGGAAUAUUGGGCAAUGGGCCAAAGCCUGAUCCUGCCAUGCCGCGUGUGUGAAGAAGGUCUUCGGAUUGUUAAGCACUUUAAGUCUGGGGGAAGUGCAGUAAUUUCAUACCUUGCUGUUUUGACGUUACCAACAGAAUAAGCACCGGCUAACUUCGUG